GACGAACGCUGGCGGCGUGCUUAACACAUGCAAGUCGAACGGAAAGGCCCUGCUUUUGUGGGGUGCUCGAGUGGCGAACGGGUGAGUAACACGUGAGUAACCUGCCCUUGACUUUGGGAUAACUUCAGGAAACUGGGGCUAAUACCGGAUAGGAGCUCCUGCUGCAUGGUGGGGGUUGGAAAGUUUCGGCGGUUGGGGAUGGACUCGCGGCUUAUCAGCUUGUUGGUGGGGUAGUGGCUUACCAAGGCUUUGACGGGUAGCCGGCCUGAGAGGGUGACCGGCCACAUUGGGACUGGGAUACGGCCCAGACUCCUACGGGAGGAAGCAGUGGGGAAUAUUGCACAAUGGGCGGAAGCCUGAUGCAGCAACGCCGCGUGGGGAUGACGGCCUUCGGGUUGUAAACCGCUUUCGCCUGUGACGAAGCGUGAGUGACGGUAAUGGGUAAAGAAGCACCGGCUAACUACGUG
rnacentral:rRNA from 1 species